UGCCAGUAGGAGGUAAUGGUAAUGCAUGGAGGAAAACGGUAAUAACGCAGAAAAGCAGGAGAGGCGGUUGCAGUGAUUUAAUAUAACUGAGUUACAGGAAGUGAAUAUUAUUAGCAUUCGCUCACGGUGGACCUAUGCACGUACAUUUAUCUUUCUCAUUUCUUGUAUAUUCGUUCGAUGUACAUAUACUGUAGCUCGAUACGCGUACAGGGAAAUGUGUACUCCAAGUUUACUCAAAUACGUACGUGCACACCUGUAUACGUGUUAUACGCAUGUGUGUACGAGACAGGGUGUGCAAGUACGUGCAAAAAAACAAGUGUACAACAGGGAGGACUACAGCGGGUCAGCAAGAAAGGAAAUAAUCACUCUUCGUGUGCGUUUAACGCGUCAAGGAACGCGUAUGCAUACGACGUAUGCGUGUGACGGUACACGACACGUAAUAUGUGUGAUGUAACGUACACAGUGCCUGAAAUGCACGUGCGAUUACGGCGCGCUUAUUUGUGCGCCGAACGAGUUUCGUUGAUGCAACGAAAUCGCUUCGCGGUAACCACCAUUUUACCGUGCCUUUUAUCUCGUGAAUAACGACCCCAUUGCGGGAAGAAUCGCCAUACUCAUGAGGGAAUGUAACAGUCUAUAGUCUACACUCUACACUCUACACUCUACACUCCACGGUCUACAGUCUACAGUCUACAGUCUACAGUCUACACAAAUAGACAGUUCUGUCGCGUUUAAAUAUUAGGUCUUUGGGUGCCGGUAAAUGACACGAAUUGUUGUAUACGCAAAGACAAUUCGAGUAAAGAAUAUCGAAUUGGUCAGCGACUUGAAAAUUAUAGGUAUCAGCAAAAAUGUAUUUUAAGAGUGAAACUUCGAUAUUCGAUGGAGAAAAUAUUUUAGCAUCAAAGUAUUUUAUUUAAGAAGAUAACCGUAUUGAAUUGUUCUUUUUCAGAAGUAAAUAAAUAAAUCAAAAAUUUGUAAAAAAAUUUAACUUUGUUACAUAUGCUUAUACGUUUUUAACAUCAAAGAAUUCGCAUUAAUCACGAGGCACUGCUCCUGCACCAGGAAGUCAGGGUGUACAAGUUCGAUCAGAUACACACGGAACAGCCGAUCUUAAUCAAUUUCCCUUAAUUUUACCGUUGCAUGACCACUUGGUACUGUAUACUGUAUACCUACAUAGUAGGCAGUUCAAUGGCGUUGCACUGCCAACGCUAACACGACUCUCUUUCUCCUUCUAAAAAGGUCUCUUCUACCUCUACCGUCAUUAGCAUUGCCAUUAGCUAAGUCUUCUACACUGCAAAAAAUCUUAUCCCUAGUUACUCCGCUACAAACUACCGAUUAACAUAUCAUUUAAUUAUCGGCCGAAUUAAGAAAAGAACAACUAAAAACAGGUAUCAAAUAAAUCUUUAAUGACCCUUGAAAUUAUGCAACAUUUUCUCUCCUGUUUAGUUGAGAAACCAAUUACUUUAAGUUUACGUAACACAAUUUUUCCUUACCUCAAUGCCAAACCGCAAUACUCUAUUUAACUAAAUUGAUUUACUCGAAUAGCAAUACAUCAGAGUUUCCUUAACGUAUUGCGAAGAAGAGUGUGCUGCACGCAGCGCUAGACAAAGCACCGAAUAGCAAAUGGAUUGUUAGUUUCCUGGCUGACGACUUGAGAGCGAGUCGCGAGCGACUAGAUUGCCGUGCGGCAUAAUACCGAAGCAAGGAAUAAAAUUUCUUUUUCAAUUACGAGCCGCGAAACUCUCUGUCCGGCCAUUAUCACCGCGCGUGAUACCUCGUUAAAACGUAUCCGGAAGGUCAAUCGUUUUAUAAUGCAAAAGGAAAGAGAGGGACAAGAGAGAGGGAGAGAGAGAGAGAGAGAGAGAAAGAGAGAGAAAGAAAGAAAGCAGGGGAUUGGAGAUGUAUCGCGGUUAGGGUCGAUGUAUGCAUUCUACACGUGGCUGUCUCUGGUCGUAGCUGCGCGUGCACCGAUGUUUCGGUGCACCGCGUAUCCUAUACGCCGUGAUUUCAUUUUAUUCGACGCGUAUGUAUAUGCAGGGAAAAAGAAAGGAAGAGAAAAGGUGCGAUAGAAACGCGCGACUCGACCGUGUUGUGUGCUGCUACACACGCACGGUCUCGCGUGCGCGCGCACGCAUACAUUCGCGCACACGCGCACUGGUAGCAUCACUUCACUGAUGAUAUACCCUACCGAGAGUUCAUUGCUCUUGAGGUGCAACGGAGAACGACGAGGAUUCGCGCGAGAACGUCGGAAAGAGAAGGAGAAACGGAGAGGGAGACGCGAACUGGCAUUGGCACGAUGGAGAGAGACAAAAACGGAGACGCACAGCACGGAAGACGAAAGGGAACGAGCGAAAGAGACUAACCGAUGGUACGAACAAGACACUGUCAAGGAGCUCUGAAAAGUCGAAGGAAGGGCGGAGAAAGACGGAUCGAGAAGAAAACUGGAUUAUAUCAAAGGAUAAACGACGAGUAUACGGGCGUGUAAAAAAUCCGGAAACGUAUCGAAAAGGUGAACGCCAUACGAAGACAAGAAACGAGUAUCUGGUUGCAUGAAUAUUAAUAAAGCACGUUAACUCGACACACGACUCUGUCGUGCUUAUAUUACACUCGGAAGUAUCCGGCAAUUAUUCAAAACCAAUGACCACGUUGAAGAGAUCCUUCUGAGUAGCCGGUCAUUUGUAUGAGAGUUCGACGUUUUGAACGAUCAAGCGAGUGAAAUAAAAAAUGCAAUUUUUUUCAGAUAUCUGACAGCUUUUAAACUUUGUCUCCCAAGAGAUGUUUUUUUGAUGAUGAUUUGUCCAAAAUGUUCUGUAAUUAUGUAAGCUUGGAACUGUUACAUUGUUACGGUAUAUGGAUUUAAGAGUGUAUCAUUU